rnacentral:rRNA from 1 species
UACGUAGGUGGCGAGCGUUAUCCGGAAUGAUUGGGCGUAAAGGGUGCGUAGGCGGCCUGCUAAGUCUGGAGUGAAAGGUACCGGCUCAACCGGUACAGGCUCUGGAAACUGGCGGGCUAGAGAGCAGGAGAGGGCGGUGGAACUCCAUGUGUAGCGGUAAAAUGCGUAGAUAUAUGGAAGAACACCAGUGGCGAAGGCGGCCGCCUGGACUGUAACUGACGCUGAGGCUCGAAAGCGUGGGGAGCAAACAGG